rnacentral:rRNA from 1 species
UACAGAGGUGGCAAGCGUUGUUCGGAAUUACUGGGCGUAAAGGGCGCGUAGGCGGCCAUCUAAGUCAGACGUGAAAUCCCCCGGCUUAACCUGGGAACUGCGUCUGAUACUGGACGGCUUGAGUAUGGGGGAGGGAUGUAGAAUUCCAGGUGUAGCGGUGAAAUGCGUAGAUAUCUGGAGGAAUACCGGUGGCGAAGGCGGCAUCCUGGACCAUUACUGACGCUGAGGCGCGAAAGCUAGGGGAGCAAACGGG